AUUACGUAACGAUGCCACCAGCGAUCCGCCUGAGUUCCUUAACUGACUCGGCGGGCACCUUCGGGGAAACCAAAGUUUUUCUGUUCCGGGGGAAGUAUGGUUGCAAAGCUGGAACUUAAAGGAAUUGACGGAAGGGCCCCCCCAGGAGGGGACCCGGCGGUUUAAUUUGACUCAACCCGGAAAAACUUACCCGGCCCGGACCCUGGCAGGAUUGACAAAUUGAAAGCUCUUUCUUGAUUCAGGGGGGGGGGGGGCAGGGCCGUUCUUAUUUGGGGGAGCAAUUUGUCGGGUUAAUUCCAAUAACAAACAAAACUCUGCCCUACUAAAUAAGCAACCGGCUUACUGACGUCGGUGGGACUUCUUAGAGGGACAGGCGGCGAUUCACCCGCACGAAACAGAACAAUAACAGGUCUGUGAUGCCCUUACAUGUCCGGGGCCGCACGCGCGCUACACUGAUCUGAUCACCGUGCAUUACAAACCUGCUCCGUCAGGAGUGGGGAACCCAAUGAACCUUCUUCGUGAUUGGGAUAGGGGAUAGUUCUUAUUCCCCAUGAACUACGAAUUCCUGCUAAGCGCGAGUCAUAAGCUCUCGCUGAUUUGCCCCUGUACUUUGUACACACCGCUCCUCGCUACUACCAUAUUGUAUGAUUGUCUGAGGACUUCGGACUGGGUGCUUCAGCUGAUCGUCUGUCGGUCGCGCUGUGUCUGGAACUAUGCUCAUAUCUAGAUCAGUUUAGAUCAUAUAAAAGUCGUCAGUAUGUGUUCCGUGACGUAGAGCCUGAGGACGAUUAGGGCGACUCGCUGCCAUCUAACUCAAUCGACCUGUAUGCAGUCCAUAGAUUGAUGUCUACGUACUACACCUACGCGAAGGGCCAGAGAAAUACUCCACAGCAGAUACUACUCGUCUAGUACG
rnacentral:rRNA from 1 species